rnacentral:rRNA from 1 species
UACGAAGGGGGCUAGCGUUGUUCGGAAUUAUUGGGCGUAAAGGGUGCGUAGGCGGUUUGGUAAGUCAGAUGUGAAAUACCCGAGCUUAACUUGGGUGCUGCAUUUGAAACUGGGUGUCUAGAGUGCAGGAGAGGUAAGUGGAAUUCCUAGUGUAGCGGUGAAAUGCGUAGAGAUUAGGAAGAACACCAGUGGCGAAGGCGACUUACUGGACUGUAACUGACGCUGAGGCAUGAAAGCGUGGGGAGCAAACAGG